AUGGCGCAGCUCGUCAUGACGGCCACCCUCCUGCCCAAGCUGGCCAGCCUGCUCUCGCCGGAGUACAGCCUCCACCGGGCAGCCAGGGGCGAGAUCAUGUUCCUCAAAGUCGAGAUGGAGAGCAUGCAGGCGGCCCUCGUCAAGGUCUCGCAGGCGCCAAUCGACCAGCCACCCGACGUCCAGGUCAAGCUAUGGGCCAAGGAGGUGCGGGCCCUGUCGCACGAUCUCGAGGACAGCGUCGACAAGUUCAUGGUGCGUAUACGCACCGACGGGCUAGACAAGUCGCACACCUUCAUGGGCUUCAUCGAUAGGAGCCUCAACCUCUUGACGAAAGCCAAGAUCCGCCACAAGAUACUCACCGAUGUCAGGGACAUCAAGAGCCGCGUCAAGGAGGUCAGUAAACGGCGUGAGACAUACAAGGUCGACAUAGUUCCUGCCAGGCCAACCGCCACAACCACCGAUAGCCUUCGCCAGUUAGCCUUAUACAAAAAGGCUACUGAGCUCAUCGGCACCGAAGAGAAGAGCAAUGAGCUAGUGGAGAUGUUGAGAAAGGGUGAUGAUGCGUCGGUCAAGCAACUCAAGAUGGUCUCUGUUGUCGGUUUCGGAGGAUUGGGCAAGACAACUCUUGCAAAUGCGGCGUAUCAGAAGCUUAAAGGGGAUUUUGAUUGUGGAGCUUUUGUCUCGGUGUCUUUUACUCCUAAUAUUGAGAAGAUCUUCAAGAACUUGCUCCAUCAACUUGACAAGAAUUGGUAUCAUAAUAUCAACGAGUCAAACUGGGGAGAAGCAGAACUCAUUACUGAAAUCACAGAAUACCUUCGGAACAAGAGGUACAUCAUUGUUAUAGACGACAUAUGGGAUAAAUCUGUUUGGAAAAAUAUUAGAUGUGCUUUGAUUGAGAAUGAGUGUGGAAGUAGAGUAAUCAUCACAACCCGCAUUCUAGAUGUUGCCAAAGAAGAUGGUGAUGUUUAUGAGAUGAAACCUCUUUCUAUCACCAACUCAAAAAUAUUAUUCUACCAAAGAAUAUUUGGAAAGGAAGAUGAAUGCCCUCAUAAACAGUUGAUCGAAGUAUCAGAGAAAAUUUUAAUGAAAUGUGGUGGAGUACCAUUAGCUAUCAUUACGAUAUCCAGCUUGUUGGCAGAAAGACAUGACAGUGCACACUGGUCUAAGGUGUACCAAUCAAUGGGCACCGGGCUGGAAAAUAAUCCAGAUGUGAAUGGCAUGAGAAGGAUAUUAUAUGUUAGCUACUAUGAUUUGCCUGCUCAUCUCAAGAUUUGCUUACUAUAUCUAAGUUUGUAUCCAGAGGAUUGCAUAUUCAAGAGAAAAUAUUUAGUAUGGAAGUGGGUGGGUGAAGGUUUUAUUCAGCCAAAACAAGGGGAGAGCUUGUAUGAAGUAGGAGAGCAAUAUUUCGAUGAGCUUAUAAACAAAAGCUUGAUCCAGACAGUAAAUAGUGAAUGGUGUUGGCAUUUUGAUUUUUCAAAAAAGAAGGCAAGUCAUUGUCGUGUACAUGACAUGGUUCUUGAUCUCAUCACUUGUUUGUCACAUGAAGAGGAUUUUAUGACGACAUUAGGUGGUCAUGAGUAUGAGUCUCUGCCAGUAAAGAUCCGCCGACUAUCCCUCCAUACAAGCAAGCAAGAAGAUGCCAAGGUGCUCUCUACAAUGGACAUGUCCCAUGUGAGGUCACUUACAGUGUUCAAGAAAUCGUUUUCUUUGCUGCCACCACUUUCAAGCUUUCCACUCUUAAGUGCAUUGGAUUUAACCAACUGUAAGCAGGUGGAUGAUCGCCACUCUAUGCUUAUAUGCAGUAUGUUUCACCUGAGGUACUUGUGGCUAUAUGGAACCUAUAUCACCGAGAUCCCAAGAGAGAUUGCAAAUCUUCAACUUUUGCAGGUAUUGGACAUAGGUGAGACUGAAAUAGAGGAGUUGCCAUCAACUUUUGAACAGUUGCAUCAGUUGGUGUAUCUGCGUGUUAAUAGUUGGAUAAGAGUACCAUAUGGCUCUGAGAAUUUGAAAUCUCUGCAAGAGUUGAAAUCGGUGAUUGUCAUGUCUCCAUCAGUCCUGCUUGAUCUGUCCGGGCUGACCGAGCUGAGGUGCCUUGAAAUGAAAGUCAUUGAAUGGAACAAGAGUUUUGAGGAGCCCUUCCGUCGCUGUCUAUCUAGCCUCAUCAAUCUCCAAAGCUUAAAAGUAAAUGGUUGUCGUAUCACCGAGGAUCCUGAAUGUGGAAAUUUAUUGCUACCAGGACCUCAACAGCUUCGUCGCUUCAUUGCACCGUAUUGCAUGGCCUCUUCGGUUCCAAGAUGGAUGUCCUCACUCUCCUGUCUUUCAUACAUUGUAAUCUCGUUGUACACACUGGGCGAGGAGGACCUUCAUGUCCUUGGUUGCUUACCAUCCCUCCGUCAUCUCAACAUGGAUGUGCGUAGACACACACCACGACAGAGACAAGCAUGGCCCGUCAUCGGUGCUACCGGCUAUCCGUUCAGGUGUCUAACAGAGUUGAGGUACGUUCAACACGCGGAGGUGGUUUUUGCACUGGGAGCCAUGCAGAAGCUCCAAGUUCUCGAGCUGCAUCUCGGAACACGGGAUACUAUGCAUCAGUCUGGCUAUUUCAACUUGGGCUUGGAAAACCUCUCUUCGCUUCAACAGGUAAGUAUCGAUUUGGAUUCUUCUAAGGAUCGGGUGGAGGAGGUGGAAACUGCGGAGGCUGUUCUUCGUUAA
rnacentral:rRNA from 1 species